UCCAGAUGCCUCCGGCCCACAGUUCCACCAGGCAGCGGGAGAGGACCUGCUGGCCCCACCGCACGACACCAGCACGGAUCUCACGGAGGUCAUGGAGCAGAUUCACAGCACGUUUCCAUCUUGCUGCCCAAAUGUUCCCAGCAGGCCACAGGCAAUGUGAAGUAUUCAUCCGGCCAACCAAUGUUUCCUGACGUACAGUGUUGCCCUUUUCAGCAAAUGCCAAUUCCAAGUUCCAUUAAAUCAGAAGCUCCAUGGCUCCUUGGCCCACGAUGUUGAGUGCUGACUGUGUGUUCUACUGAAAGAGUAAAACACUGACUAUCCAAAGAGAAAUGGAUAUUUUGUUUUUAUAAUAACCAUAUAUUAUUGUUUUCUUCUUCCCUUUCUAUGCAAGUGUAAAUUAAUGAACAGAGAGGUAUUUGGAAAUGGUAAUACAUUUGUCACGGAUUUGUAUAAUGUAUACAGCAUUGGGAAAGUGGGUGGGGGCUUUCUAAUAUGAUACCGUCUUUUUAAUAACUAUGACAAAGCUUACAUAAGAAUUAGAAGACCACUUUACAUUUUUACAUUCCUUCUGCUGUUCAUAUUAACCUUGCACAAUUACUUCAUUUUUUCUUUGACUCUUUUACCACAAUGUUUUGGUUAUUUAUAAUUUAUCAGCCAUAUGUUUAUCAGCCAUAUAACCAACUAGAUCCCAAAUAGAUCCAUGUAUUUGUUUCCGUGAUUUGGCCACAUUAAUAAAUUCAUAAAUUUCAAUCAAAUAUCUUAUAUAUACACACAUAUGGUUUAAGCUACAGCCCUGUGUAUGCCGUUUAACUUUAUUUGACGUUGCCCACUUACUUCUUUGCUGACCACUUGGAUAACCGUAAUAAAAAUCCUAUAAGCCUAAAUGGCAUUUCUUUUGGGAUAUUUUUCCUGCAUUUUAUUCCCUUUUUAUAUAAGUAGGAAUUAAUUAUUUAUUUUAUGUCUUAAUCUAUUUGAUAAAGAAGACUACAUUAUAAUAAUCUCAAAGAUCAUAUUACCAAAGGUUGCCCACUUGAGCAUAUUUUCAUUUUGACACAGAAACAAAAUUUAGUACAACCUUUCCUAGUUCCCAUGUCUUGAUUUUCAUCAUUACAUGCACAGCAGACCUUUACCUAUUGUGAUACCAGAACACAUCAUUGUCUUUGGUUCCCUUCAAAGAGAAUUUUAUUGUUGUUUUGUAUUUUCAAGUCCUUAAUAGUUCUUGAAACUCCUAGUUGUUUUCUUGUUGAAAGCAGACACACAUUUAGUGCACGGCUUAUUUUACCUUUCGGGUGAAAGAUCAGAUGUUUUUAUACCCUUCACUUGAUCAAUAUAUUUGGAAAGAAUGUUUAUCAAAAGUCUAUGUCACUGCUUCUACAGAAGAAUGAAAUUAAUGCUUAGGUGAUGGUACCUCCACCUACAUCUUUUUGAGUGCAUUCAAUUAUGUAUUUUGGUUUAGCUUCUGAUUUAACAUUUAAUUGAUUCAGUUUAAACAUGUUACUUAAUUAGCAAAUGUAGAGGAACC
rnacentral:lncRNA from 1 species